GAUAAACGCUAGCGGCAGGCUUAACACAUGCAAGUCGAGGGGUAUUGGUUUUCGGACCAAGAGACCGGCGCACGGGUGCGUAACGCGUAUGCAAUCUACCUUUUGCAGAGGAUAGCCCAGAGAAAUUUGGAUUAAUACCUCAUAGUAUAGUACUUUGGCAUCAAGGAACUAUUAAAGUCACAACGGCAAAAGAUGAGCAUGCGUCCCAUUAGCUAGUUGGUAAGGUAACGGCUUACCAUGGCUACGAUGGGUAGGGGUCCUGAGAGGGAGAUCCCCACACUGGUACUGAGACACGGACCAGACUCCUACGGGAGGCAGCAGUGAGGAAUAUUGGUCAAUGGACGCAAGUCUGAACCAGCCAUGCCGCGUGCAGGAUGA
rnacentral:rRNA from 1 species